AAGACUUGGAAGUCUUCUCCGUCGUCCUUCAUCUCUACAAAACAUCAAGAUCCCCUUUGAAGAAAACAUAAAUCUGCAAACAGAGCUCAUUUUGAAGCCCUGUUCAAUCUUCAUUGAGAAGAAAUUGCGACCUGCAAAGAAAGCCACUGUAUAUUGAAAACAAAAGUUUCAUAUCUACCGAAAUAGGGCGAAAUCAAGCAAAUCCUUUUAAGUAUUGGCUGCCAAAAAUAGACUCAGGUUUCGUCACCAGUUUCAGCAUUUGAGGUCGAACACAUUCGAAGAACCAAAGGAAAGGCUUCCAGUGAGAGGGAAGGGAGUCACAGACCAAAUAAGUAGUGACAGCGGCGUGCAAUCCGACUAAAUUGAAGUGUACGAAAUAUUUAUCUACAUUGUCUUUUGUGUUUAAUUUAUAAUCAUAAAAAUUUAGCAUAACACUCAUAUUUUUUAACCAACGCCACCUGUCGGAAAUAACUCGAAGUUUACCUCAAAAUCAUCAUCGGCCUAUACAAAUUAAGGAGACAGUUUCUACCCUUGAAGGCUCAAUUGGACAUAGUAAUGGAGGUGAAAAUGUGGAGCUGUGUGAUGUAAGAAACAGAGAUUGUCCCUGAGUCCCAUAAUAGGUCACCGAAUGAGGGAGUUUAGAAGAACAUGUACUAGUCUGUCAGAGGAAAAGCAAAUAGCUAUUGAUGCAAUGGGGUUCAGGAUGAUAUAUACCUUCAGGUGCAGCGAACUUAAUGUCCCUCUAUACCACAUGAUGUGCAACAACUUCAAUGUCGAAAACUCAACGAUCAAGAUUCACGGGGGACAUUUUAACUAUCAUCCAUGAAGACUUCCAGCAUGUAAUGAGUGUUAGGGAUGCUGGGGCUGACGUAGAUUUAUCUGGAAGCUUGACAGAACUUGACAUUGUAGAGAUAAAGUCAUAUGUUAGUUUGUAAAUCAUUUGAAUUCAGUUCAAAAAGAAGUGGAGGAUACAUCUUUGAUGAUGAUAG